AUGUGGUGUCUCUGUGAUUAGGAGGUACUGAUGUGGUCUCAAAUCUCAAAAACAGUGAAUGAAUAGUUCCAUCUUUGUUUUAAGUACUGAUUUAUUCCUUCUGUUUAACAUAAUAAUGACUUACUAGUAUGCUUUACUGCCUUAAUUUUUUUUGUCACCCGUGGCCAUAAUAUAGAAGUCUGGGAAAUGGCUACUAAUUUGCUGUUACUCAUCAUGUUUUUCUGUGUGAGUGGUACCAAAUGCAGUUGCAAUGUUGUAGUAAUAUUCCUAGUCAGACUCUGCUUGUUACCUGACUUAUGAAACAACUUAUUUCCUGUUAACAUGAAAAUGCAGUUUUUAUUUUUGAAGUUGAUUUUUUGUAAUCAGAUAAAAAUGGGUAGCCUUAUGAUUGAUGGUUCAUUAUAGUUUGCUUAGAGGAGGGAAUUGGGUUAACUGAAUUGGAAUGCAAAGCGUCACUGAAUGCAGCUUUGUUAACAAUCUUUCCCUCUUUUUACAUGUUAUGAGGUUCUUCCUGAUGUUUUUGCUUAUUACAUGUCAAA
rnacentral:misc_RNA from 1 species